UGAGCAAUCUGCCCUUCUCUUCGGAAUAAGCGUUGGAAACGACGUCUAAUGCCGAAUACGACCUCCUUUCGCAUGAUCGGAGGUGGAAAGCUCCGGCGGAGAAGGAUGAGCUCGCGGCCUAUCAGCUAGUUGGUGUGGGUAAUGGCCCACCAAGGCGACGACGGGUAGCCGGCCUGAGAGGGUGACCGGCCACACUGGGACUGAGACACCGGCCCAGACCUCCCGUACGGGGACGGNACGGACG
rnacentral:rRNA from 1 species